AACUCCAACAAAUUUACCACGUAUGCAGA
rnacentral:sRNA from 1 species